UUGGUGCUUCUAAUAUUUCAGGCCUUCCCAUGAAUCAGUUUUGUUUGGAAGGUUUGCCUAGUAGACUUGAACUCAGUCCAUCCAUCACAACCAAUAAAACAACAUCUGCUCACAGUGCUGUCAUCAAAUCCAGAGAUGUAGCUUACCAGACUUACAAAACUUCAUUUGAUAAAAUGGUGCAAGAAAUUGAAAGUACAAAAAAUAGUCUUUUGCUGACAGAAACAUUAUGGUCCCAGUCGUGGAAUAGUUCUGUUGAGAAAGUCAAAGGCCUGUAUCAAACUGAGUCCUAGACUCACUGUCAACACCAGGAGAAUUAAUCAGCAGGGAGCUGCCUUAAUGAGAUGAAUGUAUUAUACCUUGUGGCUUUUGUAUUUAAAAGACAAUUUCUAUGUUCUUGAAAGAAUUAUUUGAAUCAAGUUAGAAUAUGUUGUUUAGGCAUGUCAUUUUUAUUUGUUUAAAAAAAAAUCAAAAUUGAGACACUGCAAUUUCUUGAUAUUGAUUGUUUAAAUGUCUUAGAUCAAUAACUAGACCUUUUUUUUUUGUUGAUAGUUUUGACCCAUCAUAUAAGGCUUUUGUUUUUAAGAAAUGUCAUUUAGAAUCAGAUGUAU
rnacentral:sRNA from 1 species